UUUCCGUAGGUGAACCUGCGGAAGGAUCAUUAAUAAUAAGUGUUUUAUGGCACUUUUUUAAAUCCAUAUCCACCUUGUGUGCAAUGUCAGGGUUGAUUUUUCGAUCGAGAGGAUCAGCCUCAAACAUCAACUAUAUCUCAACUCUUUGUCUGAAAAAUAUUAUGAAUAAAACAAGUUAAAAUACAACUUUCAACAACGGAUCUCUUGGCUCUC
rnacentral:misc_RNA from 1 species